GUAUUUCUUCCAAAAAAUCUCCGAAUGUCCAGUCUCAUCUUGGAGGACCUCAGCAUGCUAAUCGCUUUGGACUUUGUAUGUAGAGAUCAAGCAUCUGUUUUACCAGCUUCUAGAGAAGACGGCUCUGAAGAUCCAAGGCACUUGGCAUUGGGUUUUGGCUUCCUAGCCCUCAGCCUCCAUCUAGCCACCUCUUUUUACGAAUCUGCUCACACUAGCAUCUACGCCGUGCCCCAUGCUUUGGGAAGAGAACCUAGACAUCGUGCUAAAUGGUCAGCCAUGCCCUUCUCUUAGUUUCUAUCCUCCUUGCUGUGAAAAGUAUUUGUCCUUCUAUUUCCAGCCAUUAGAGGGCAAGGCUGCUGCAGCUAACAGAUUUUAAGGCUUGUUUUGGGAGAGCCCGAGCAAAGCAAGCAUUUUUCCAAUUAUACACCAUCUAACUCAAUUUACAUUUAUUAGAGAAACUGCCAGCUAUUUCAUGUUAAUAUUGACAUUUUCAUAAGUACUUGCAAUUAGAAUUUAAGCUGAGAGUCCAAUAAAUCUCUCAGAUGCUUUACACUUUUA